GCGACGAGGACACGGUCGAGCAUACGCUCGC
rnacentral:sRNA from 1 species